GUUGGGAUGAGCUUAAUUGUAUGUGAUGAAAAGGUUCAAGUUUGGGGUUAUACGGGAGAAAAUGGAAAAAGCAAGUGAAANGCAUUGAGCUCAAUUGUUGUAAAAAGAAAAAUUCAAGAGAAAAAGAAAAGAAAAGAAGAAAAGCAUGAAGAUGAGCUCAAUGAAAAAGAAAANAAAAGGGAAGAAGUUGGGAAUGAGAAAUUUUGGUGAGAGAGUUGUUAGUAAAUGUUGAAUAUUUUGUUAGCUCUCUUGACUCAAGGAUUUUGCAUUCUAGAAAAAUAAUUUUUUCUUGUUAACCCAACCUCAUUACAAGCCUUGAAAAAGUCCUUUUGAUGGCAUUUGCAUGUAAAGAUGUUGAUUGUUUAAGAUGACUGGCAAUUUUGUUUCAUGUAACUUGUGAACAA
rnacentral:lncRNA from 1 species